CUUCCUGUUUUUAGUACCACCCAUCUGCUUCCUCACAAGGUGUGUGGCUAUGCUAACGGGAUAAAGCAAAUGUCUGUCAAGAUCUGAAGGGUUGGAUGGCCACACCCCCUCCACCUCUAUAUGAAUUGACAGUACAUCUAUAU